GAGGCCGUAGUGAUAGCGGCAGCACGCCGGGUCGUGGCCCCGGUAGGUCGGGUUCGAGCCCCGACGGUCUCCCCA
rnacentral:tRNA from 1 species